rnacentral:rRNA from 1 species
UACGGAAGGCAGCAGUGGGGAAUAUUGCACAAUGGGCGAAAGCCUGAUGCAGCUAUGCCGCGUGUAUGAAGAAGGCCUUAGGGUUGUAAAGUACUUUCAUCGGGGAGGAAAAAACAAAACUAAUAAUUUUAUUUCUUGACGUUACCCGAAAAAGAAGCACCGGCUAACUCCGUGCCAGCAGCCGCGGUAAUACGGAGGGUGCUAGCGUUAAUCAGAAUUACUGGGCGUAAAGAGCACGUAGGUGGUUUUUUAAAGUCAGAUGUGAAAUCCCUGGGCUUAACCUGGAACUGCAUUUUGAAACUGAAAUACUAGAGUAUCGUAGAGGGAGGUAGAAUUCUAGGUGUAGCGGUGAAAUGCGUAGAUAUCUGGAGGAAUACCUGUGGCGAAAGCGGCCUCCUAAACGAAUACUGACACUGAGGGUGCGAAAGCGUGGGGAGCAAACAGGGAUUAGAUACCCGU